UUCUGUGUUAUAAAUAACUCCCCAAUUGUGUAAGAAAAUCGUAUUCAUGGUUAUCGUAAUAGGAAGCAAAUUCUGCUCCUUGAUUGGCUGUGAAAAAAUGUAAACAAUGAAUUAACCAA